UACGAACUGUGCAAACGUUAUUCGGAAUCACUGGGCUUAAAGGGUGCGUAGGCGGCUAUCUAAGCAGGGUGUGAAAGCCCCCGGCUCAACCGGGGAAUUGCGUUCUGAACUGGAUGGCUGGAGUGAGAUAGGGGUGUGUGGAACUUCCAGUGGAGCGGUGAAAUGUGUUGAUAUUGGAAGGAACGCCGGUGGCGAAAGCGACACACUG
rnacentral:rRNA from 1 species